ACAGGAUUCCCCUAGUAACUGCGAGUGAAGCGGGAAAAGCUCAAAUUUAAAAUCUGAUAGUCUUUGGCUGUCCGAGUUGUAGUCUGGAGAAGCGUUUUCCGUGCUGGACCGUGUACAAGUCUCCUGGAACGGAGCGUCAUAGAGGGUGAGAAUCCCGUCUUUGACACGGACUACCAGUGCUUUUGUGAUGCGCUCUCAAAGAGUCGAGUUGUUUGGGAAUGCAGCUCAAAAUGGGUGGUAAACUCCAUCUAAAGCUAAAUAUUGGCGAGAGACCGAUAGCGAACAAGUACCGUGAGGGAAAGAUGAAAAGCACUUUGGAAAGAGAGUUAAACAGUACGUGAAAUUGCUGAAAGGGAAACGCUUGAAGUCAGUCGCGUUUGCUAGGACUCAGCCUUGCCUCGGCUAAGGUGCAUUUCCUAGUAGACGGGCCAGCAUCACUUUUGGCUGCGGGAAAAAGGUCAGAGGAAUGUGGCACCUCCGGGUGUGUUAUAGCCUCUGGCUGUAUACUGUGGCUGGGAGUGAGGAACUCAGCGCGCCUUCAUGGCGGGGCUUCGGCCACCUUCGUGCUUAGGAUGCUGGCGUAAUGGCUUUAAACGACCCGUCUUGAAACACGGACCAAGGAGUCUAACAUGCCUGCGAGUGUUUGGGUGGAAAACCCGAGCGCGUAAUGAAAGUGAAAGUUGGGACCUCUGUCGUGGAGGGCACCGACGCCCGGACCAGACCUUCUGUGACGGAUCCGCGGUAGAGCAUGUAUGUUGGGACCCGAAAGAUGGUGAACUAUGCCUGAAUAGGGUGAAGCCAGAGGAAACUCUGGUGGAGGCUCGUAGCGAUUCUGACGUGCAAAUCGAUCGUCAAAUUUGGGUAUAGGGGCGAAAGACUAAUCGAACCAUCUAGUAGCUGGUUCCUGCC
rnacentral:rRNA from 1 species